rnacentral:lncRNA from 1 species
AUGGUUUUGUUUCCAGGCCUUCUGGAGGCCAUGGCAGUCUCCUUACUGGGGAAGCUGGUGCCUCCCUGCCAGCAAAGCUGUGCUGGCUUCCAGCAGGUGGAAGCAUGCCGUCUCACGGGAAGAAGCUUUUUUCUUGACAACACAGCUGUGAAGACACCUUUCUUUCUGUCCCUGCUCUGGGGCAUCAAGACUAGAUCAACUAUCACAGGGGUCAACAACCAGGACAGGGCAAUGCUCCCCACUGUGUUUUUCUUUCCUGAGUCAAGCUGGCUAAUAACAUGGCAUACAACUCUUAGGGAGAGAGAUGGCAACAUCCAAAUGCCUUCUCCUGCAGCAGGCUGUGAACUUCACAGCCACAGCAGUGCUGGGUUUCCAUGCAGUUCACAUACAUACAUACACACACAGCCAAAAGAGCUAAGACAGAGAAGCUGUGCUGUAGGGAGAGGGCCUGAGACCACUUUUCUUCUUGCUACUGAAAUGUUUUCUGUCAAAAACAUGUCAAAAACAUGUUUACUUGGUCGGAUAUACAGAAUGAUGUAUAACGUAAGAGUUGAGAAACUAGAUCUAGGUCUGGAUUUGCAGUCUCUGGAUGCUAAGAGUCCCAUUGUUUUAAACCGUGCAAGCCCACCACCAGCUCCAUCACAGUUUACUGUUUCACGCAAAGCCACCUCUAACAUUGAUGAGCCAGCUGUCUAAGCAGGCAGUGGUGGCAGUGGUGUGAAUCAGGUCCAGUGGGAAUAUUGCAUACAGCACUGUGGGUGAUAGCAUAUGCCUCCUUUACAAAAAUCCUUUCGCAUUGGUCAUGAAAACCAUAGACACAAAAAAGACAGUCUAUAAUUUCCACACAAGCCACCCAGAAGAAAUAGCUUGUUGAAAAAGAGAAAACAUUUGUCUCCCUCUGAGUCCUUUCAAUAGCAAACUAUACAGAAUCACAUAGAUUUGGGCAGCAUGUCCUCAUGGACAAGAAUAGACUUAGUCUGCAUGCUGUACCCACCCUGAACUUACUUGUAGAGUAGUUCUUCUUAAGAAAGUAAAUUCACAUUCACCAACUCCCAAGGAAACGCCUCUAAAUGAAAUGCCAGCUAUCUGUUGUUUGCAAUACAAUUAUUGUAGUUAUUCAGACAGGUUUGAUCUACAGAGCUUUUUAAAGUAGGAUAGAAAAUCCAGCUCUGGAAGCUGCCAGGUAAACAAGACUGCAGGUAUUUCAGUGUUCAAUUCAGUAAGAAAAGGCAAGUAUGCCACAGAUACAAAAACAUAUUUCACAGCUCCUGUACUGCAGAAAAGACGAACAAAAGCACUAAAUCUCUCAGGGAAGAAGCAUUUCCUCUUCAGUCUUUCCCAGAUGGUUGAACAGCCACAUGAAUGUAUAACAGUAUGAAUAUGAACAUAUUCUGUGACAUCUGUUUGUUCAAAGCAUACAAGGUCUCACUGCAUAGAUUUCCAGGCACAACAGGCCACCCAAAAUGUUGUGCCUCACACCAAAUACUACCUACCUUCAAAACACAGGCCAUGAUUUUCAGCGGUGCUGAAAAGCUAAAGCAACUGGAUAUAUCUGCUGUAGCUAUACAGAAUUCCUAAGGAAAACCUGCAUAUAACAGUGUGGUCUUGGACUUGGCAGUGUUUUCACUCACAGCCCCAGCCCUGAUGAUGAGUUCCUUACGCUGUGUACUGCUCCCUGCAUAUAUCCUUGUGCCACAUCAGCCACCAUCUGCUCUGUCACAUAUGGUGCAUACAGCAUUUUGGGACACAUCUGUUAGUUAGAAGCCAGGGUUUACAUUUUAUCAUUGUAGCUAUUCUGUGCACCACCUCCCUGUGUGGACACAGUUUGCAGAAUGCCUUCCUUCUGCUUAAAUUAAACCACUUCCACAACAGGUUACUCUAACAGCCCCAAAACUUUACUUUUAUUUUCACACCCUAGUGUAUUCCUUGCUACAUGCCUUGUCCAGCCAAGCCAUUAGAUAAGCACACCCCUUCACUUUCUUAGUGAACAUGUAAACCAACGGUAACAGCCUUAGUAAAAGCAAAAAAUUACCCUUCUAAGUAUCUUUCUCUUUCUAACUGGAGCGACCAAAUUGCAUUCACACAGAAUUAAUACAAGUUGCCUCAGAAAAUCAAGUCUUUUCCAUUCCUAGUCUUUGAGAGUUAAAAGAGAGCUCAUACAGAAAGCAAGUGAGCCAACCAAAGCAUUCUCCUUUUUCCCUUUUCCUAUGUACCAUAUGUUAACUGUUUGAUCUGUCAAUUAAUAAGCACUGGGAAUACAAAAAUAAAUGUUAAACCUCCAAAAAAGAAAAUAUGCUU